AACGAACGCUGGCGGCAUGCCUAACACAUGCAAGUCGAACGAGACCUUCGGGUCUAGUGGCGCACGGGUGCGUAACGCGUGGGAACCUGCCCUUAGGUUCGGAAUAACUCCCCGAAAGGGGUGCUAAUACCGGAUAAUGUCUUCGGACCAAAGAUUUAUCGCCUUUGGAUGGGCCCGCGUUGGAUUAGCUAGUUGGUAGGGUAAAAGCCUACCAAGGCGACGAUCCAUAGCUGGUCUGAGAGGAUGAUCAGCCACACUGGGACUGAGACACGGCCCAGACCCCUAGGGGGGGCAGCAGUGGGGAAUAUUGGAAAAGGGGCGAAAGCCUGUCCCAGCAAUGCCGGGGGAGUGAGGAAGGCCUUAGGGUUGUAAAGCUUUUUUCCCCGGGAUGAUAAUGACAGUACCGGGAGAAUAAGCCCCGGCUAACUCCGU
rnacentral:rRNA from 1 species